rnacentral:tRNA from 1 species
AUUUAUAUAAUAUAAAAAUUAUAUUUGACUUCCAAUCAAAAAAUCUAAAUAUAUUUAGUAUAAAUA